rnacentral:rRNA from 1 species
UUGAAAGGGAAACGAUUGAAGUCAGUCGUACCGGCGNNAAUCAGCCUUUUGGNUGUNANUAUGUGGAGCGUGAGGAGUUAAACACCCUCAUCUUUGCAUAUUCGUGCACUUUGGNUGUACUUGCUCGUGUGGUAGGUUAACAUCAAUUUUGAUCGUCAUAAAAUGAUUGGAGGAAUGUAGCUUCGAUCUCGUAUUGAAGUGUUAUAGCCUUCGGUAGAUGUGAUGAUUGGGAUUGAGGAUUGCAACGGAUACCCUUCGGGGCUACCUGUCUGAUCUCUGAAAGUUGCUCUGGUGCUGAAAGCUUGCUUAUGGUAUCAAAGUUGACGUUCAACAGGUUAGAACGGGAUAAAUUCGUUAAGGAUGUUGACGUA